rnacentral:sRNA from 1 species
CUGACAUCCAUAGGUUCUAAUUGUGGUGUUAUCCCGCGUGUUUUGGGAUUCAAACUAUAUGAGGUUGCCUAGCUACCCAUAGAGCGUCUGAUGAUCUUGAUUCAAAGCAUCAAUGAAACUUGCCGGCCUUGCAUGCAGACGAAAAUUGGAACGAUCUCGUUGCCAUCGUCGGGUUCGACCUAGAUCUUGCGAAGCUAUGAUCUAUCCCAUCAUGUUGACCCUUCGCAGAAUCGCAGACUCUGGCUUGCUUGAAGAUCGCGCGAGCAACACCUGCAGCCCUACUGCAUAGCCAACCAACUCUCCGCUAGCUUUCUGGGGUUAAACCUCUCGACAUGCAGCCGUUCAACCUGCCGGAGUUGGGAGAACAUUAUUUGUUAAAACAACCUUGGUCUUAACAUAUUGUCAAUGCACAUUUUAAUUUGCACUCGCCCAAGGUGAUGCAUCUUACGUCAAUGCCAGGGUAAACAGCCUAUGAGAAUGCCUUGUCUGCACGAUUGCAGCUAUUUUCCCCAAUGAAUUGCGCUGUCCUUUCUUCCUUUCUUCUAGCACUUCUUGUGACUGCUCAGGGAGGAUCCGUACAUGUGAGAAUGCAUAUUCAUCAGCAAGAGAAUAUGCCUCGUCGACAUUAGCUACAUUCCCAACUUCUCCAGAUGAGUGCCAUGUAUGUUUUUGCAAUUGAGCCACUAGAAAG